rnacentral:rRNA from 1 species
CCUACGGGAGGCAGCAGUGAGGAAUAUUGCACAAUGGGGGAAACCCUGAUGCAGCGACGCCGCGUGAGCGAUGAAGUAUUUCGGUAUGUUAAGCUCUAUCAGCAGGGGAGAAAAUGACGGUACCUGUCUAAGAAGCCCCGGCGAACUACGUGCCAGCAGCCGCGGUAAUACGUAGGGGGCAAGCGUUAUUCGGAUUUACUUGGUGGAAAUGGAGCGUAGACGGGGGUGCAAGCCAGAUGGGAAAGCCCGGGGGCCAACCCCGGGACUGCCGUUGAAACUGUGCUGCUAGAGUGUCGGAGAGGUAGGCGGAAUGCGUAGUGUAGCGGUGAAAUGCGUAGAUAUUAGGAGGAACACCAGUGGCGAAGGCGGCCUGCUGGACGACGACUGACGUUGAGGCUCGAAAGCGUGGGGAGCGAACAGGAUUAGAUACCCGAGUAGUC